rnacentral:rRNA from 1 species
UACGUAGGGUGCGAGCGUUAAUCGGAAUUACUGGGCGUAAAGCGUGCGCAGGCGGUUUUGUAAGCCAGGUGUGAAAUCCCCGGGCUCAACCUGGGAAUGGCAUUUGGGACUGCAAGGCUGGAGUGCGGCAGAGGAGACUGGAAUUCCUGGUGUAGCGGUGAAAUGCGCAGAUAUCAGGAGGAACACCAAUGGCGAAGGCAGCUCGCUGGGACGGUACUGACACUGAGACGCGAAAGCGUGGGGAGCAAACAGG